rnacentral:rRNA from 1 species
UGGGGAAUUUUGGACAAUGGGCGAAAGCCUGAUCCAGCAAUGCCGCGUGUGUGAAGGAGGCCUUCGGGUUGUAAAGCACUUUUGUCCGGAAAGAAAUCCUUGGCUCUAAUACAGUCGGGGGAUGACGGUACCGGAAGAAUAAGCACCGGCUAACUACGUGCCAGCAGCCGCGGUAAUACGUAGGGUGCAAGCGUUAAUCGGAAUUACUGGGCGUAAAGCGUGCGCAGGCGGUUUGCUAAGACCGAUGUGAAAUCCCCGGGCUCAACCUGGGAACUGCAUUGGUGACUGGCAGGCUAGAGUAUGGCAGAGGGGGGUAGAAUUCCACGUGUAGCAGUGAAAUGCGUAGAGAUGUGGAGGAAUACCGAUGGCGAAGGCAGCCCCCCUGGGCCAAUACUGACGCUCAUGCACGAAAGCGUGGGGAGCAAACAGGAUUAGAUACCCUGGUAGUCCACGCCCUAAACGAUGUCAACUAGUUGUUGGGGAUUCAUUUCCUAGUAACGUAGCUAACGCGUGAAGUUGACCGCCUGGGGGAGUACGGUCGCAAGAUUAAAACUCAAA